rnacentral:lncRNA from 10 species
CUGCAGUGCAGUGGCACAAUCUCGGCUCACUGCAACCUCUACCUCCCAGGUUCAAGCGAUUCUCCUGCCUCAGCCUCCCGAGUAGCCGGGAUUACAGGUGCCCACCACUACGCUCGACUAAUUUUUUGUGUUUUUAGUAGAAACGGGGUUUCACCAUUUAGCCAGGCUGAUCUGAACUCCUGACCUUGGGCGAUCCGCCUACCUCGGCAUCCCAAAGUGCUGGGAUUACGGGUGUGAGCCACUGCGCCCGGCCCUAACAAUUUUUAAGUGACAGUGACAUUAAGCAUAUUCACAUUGUUGUGCAACCCUCACCACCAUCCACCCUCAGAACUUUUUAAAAUCUCCAAGACUGACUUUUUUUCAAAGCAGGCAACUUUAAUUCCCUACCUGGUAUCUGGAUUCCUUUUCCUUUUCAUGCUAUCUUUUCAUCAUACCUCUUCUAAUCUGAGUAUUUCCUCUGGGCUUAAAAGAGCCUCAGUGGAGAAGUACAACCUAAGAGGGAGUUAGGUACAACCUAGGAGGGAGUCAGGAGGAGAGAGUUAGGUUAGUUAGUACAACCUAAGAGGGAGUUAAAUGGAUCAGGAAAAUCGUGUUUUAUCUCCAAAGUAAAAUGAUAACUAUGGGUGGCUUCUGGGCUCAAUUUAGAAUAUUAUCAUUGAAAAGUCCCCAAGAAACUAUUAAUUCAGAGCCACCCUGGUGAGUUGAAUUUCUUGAAUGUCUUCAUGGUCUUGAACCAAAGUCAUUUCCACCCAAGGGAGAGUCAGGUGAAAGUCCCCAGGGCCCUCUCUAGGGGACCGGAGACCUCCAGACUAAGCUGGUGGAGGAUGGGCUCAACCUCCAUGAGAGAAGAGCAGCCAGGAUCAGGGGGCAUUAACGUUAAUUUUCCCAGGACUUUUCUGCAAAUGGGUAUUGGAUGGAAAUAUUUGUUCUCAGUCAGAUGAGUUUCUCCUAUUUUAGUGAGACCAAAGAAAGACAAUUUUAAUUGUGUCCAAGCUGACUUUUUUGAAUGCUCUGGAAAUGUUGGAAUUCCACAUCAAAGUACGUAACUGUUUUAAACUGAUAACUAACCCAAUAUGUGAAAAUAUAUGCAAGCAUGAAUAAAGGGUUGACUAAUUCCAGAAUUAGCAAUAAUUUUCUCUUAAAUAGCAAAUUUCUAAAGCUGUAUGAUUCUCUUUGCAAGAAUGUUUUUCACACUGCUUAAUAAGACCAGUUAAUGUGUAAAACAGAAAAAAGUAUAUAUAUAUCAUAUGUCUUUUCAUGCAUCUGAAACUUUAACUGUCUAUAGGGUUGCUUGUCAUAGUUGAACAUUAUUUAAUUAACUUAUUGACUAUAUAUGGGUAUACUUUUCUCUAUAGCCAUUCACUUUUUUAAAGUUUUAAUUAUUUAAUUGACAAAUUAGCUAUUCAUUUUCCUUCAAAUCCUGUUUUUAUCACAAUGUCCAUUUUACAGCUAGACACAAAAUUUAGUGGGUCCAAAUUGUUCAAUCACUU